CUUUAAAGGAUAGUAGC
rnacentral:tRNA from 1 species